rnacentral:misc_RNA from 1 species
CAAAUCUUUUGCGAGUGCUGCGUACUUAACCGUGCCUAGCAUCUCACAACAUUAGCACAAGGUUGCAAGACCUUGAUGUUUACGCUUGUUUGUUUGACAGAGUUAGUUGAGACUAAAAAAGA